rnacentral:rRNA from 1 species
UACGGAGGGUGCAAGCGUUGCUCGGAAUUAUUGGGCGUAAAGGGUAGGUAGGUGGUCUCAUUUGUCUGGGGUGAAAGCCUUGAGCUUAACUCAAGAAGUGCCCCAGAAACGGUGAGACUAGAGUCCUGGAGAGGGUCGUGGAAUUCCCGGUGUAGCGGUGAAAUGCGUAGAGAUCGGGAGGAACACCAGAGGCGAAGGCGGCGACCUGGACAGGUACUGACACUCAAAUACGAAAGCGUGGGGAGCAAACAGG